CCUACGGGCGGCAGCAGUGGGGAAUAUUGGACAAUGGGGGCAACCCUGAUCCAGCCAUGCCGCGUGUGUGAAGAAGGCCCUCGGGGUGUAAAGCACUUUCAGUGAGGAAGAACGCCUGGUGGUUAAUACCCAUCAGGAAAGACAUCACUCACAGAAGAAGCACCGGCUAACUCCGUGCCAGCAGCCGCGGUAAUACGGAGGGUGCGAGCGUUAAUCGGAAUUACUGGGCGUAAAGCGCGCGUAGGUGGCUUGAUAAGCCGGUUGUGAAAGCCCCGGGCUCAACCUGGGAACGGCAUCCGGAACUGUCAAGCUAGAGUGCAGGAGAGGAAGGUAGAAUUCCCGGUGUAGCGGUGAAAUGCGUAGAGAUCGGGAGGAAUACCAGUGGCGAAGGCGGCCUUCUGGACUGACGCUGACACUGAGGUGCGAAAGCGUGGGUAGCAAACAGGAUUAGAUACCCCAGUAGUC
rnacentral:rRNA from 1 species